rnacentral:rRNA from 1 species
AUGGAGACGACCGGUAGCAAGAUGCUGAAGCCGGUGCACUCGGCGCCGCACCCGCUCGCAGGCGAGAUGGUCCCGCUGACGCUCUUCGACCGCGCCGCCAUGGACAUCUUUGUCUCCCUCAUCCUCGUGUACCCCGCGCCGACUCCGUCCAACGAGGCACUCGUGGAGGGCCUGCGCAGGGCUGUCGCGCCGUACCCUCACCUGGCCGGGCGGCUCGCCGUCGACCACUCAGGCAGGCGCUCCAUCUACCUCAACAACGACGGCGUGCUUGUCCUGGACACCGAGGUCCCUGUCGAUAUGGCGAGCGUGGUCGCCGACGGCUGCUUUACCGCCGCCACCGAGGGCCUGUACCCUGCACUGCCACCGCCGGAGGAGAACGUCGGGGCGGCGCUGCUGCAGAUCAAGCUGAACCGGUACAAGUGCGGCGGCCUCGUGAUCGGCAUCAUCCACCACCACCACGCAGCCGACGGCCGCUCCUUCAGCAACUUCCUCACCACGUGGGCCAGCGCAGUUCGCCAAGCCAGCGAAUUCACCGCCCCGUCCCCUUCCCUCGACCGCGCGGCGACCGCCGUGCCUCGGAGCGUGCCGAUGCCGGCGUUCGACCACCGGUGCAUCGAGUUCAGCGGAGAAGAAGACGGCUGCCGUAGCUCCUCCUACUCCCACCCCACGUGCAAGAUCAAGAAUCUCACGUUGCGCUUCACGGCCGAGUUCGUCGCAGAGCUCAAGGCCCACGUCGGCACCCCAUGCAGCACGUUCCAGUGCCUUCUCGCGCACGUGUGGAAGAAGAUCACGGCGGCGCGCGGCCUGAAGCCCGACGAGUUCACGCAGGUCAGGGUGGCCGUGGACUGCCGGGGCAGGGCCAACCGUGCCGUCCCGCCGGACUUCUUCGGGAACAUGGUGCUGUGGGCAUUCCCGAGGCUCCAAGUCCGGGACGUCCUGGGCUGGACCUACGGCAGCGUGGUAGGCGCCAUCCGCGACGCCAUUGGGCGUGUCGAUGCCGCGUACAUCCAGUCGUUCGUGGACUUCGGGAGCGUGGCGGACGCGAACUGGGAGGAGCUCGCGGCGACGGCGCCAACCUCCGGCGCCAUGCUCUGUCCGGACCUGGAGGUGGACGGCAGUCUGGGUUUCAGGUUCCACCAGAUUGACCUCGGCAGUGGGCCGCCAUCCGCGUUCCUCAUGCCGGACUUGCCCGUCGAGGGGCUCAUGACAUUUGUGCCGUCGUGCUCAGCCGAGGGCAGCGUCGACGUCCACAUGGCCGUCGCCGAGGAUCACGUCGCGGCGCUUGAGCAUAUAUGCUACUCCUUGGACGAAAGAGCUAAACCGAAGUUGUAA